UGCCACUCUAUAUAGAUCAGGCUUGGUGAGGAUCAGAUCUGGGGCAGCGGAGAAGGAAGGCAGGAGGCAGAUUCGGAAAGCCAUUUGGAAGAAACCACCCAACUGGCAAGUUCCGGCGUGGGGCCCAAACUCACAACCCUGAGAUCAAGACCUGAGCUGAGAUCAAGAUUUGGACGCUUAACCAACUGAGCCUAACAUUCAGCUUCUUAAUAGGUGACAGUGUGGAAUACACUAUUUCCACAUAGGCUCACUAUUUUCAGGAUGGUCUAGAUUUCACUCAUCGUUCAAAGGGGAAUACACAGAAAUGCACAGCAUUGAAGCGUCAUUUCCACGAUGGAGUUGAUCCCGCAGCCAAGGGGGCUGAUUCAUGAUGUUUACAAAAACACAAAUCCUCCAGGCAUCAAAGCAGCUCCCCUGGGCUGAAGAAAUGGGAUCAUUCACAGAGGCAUUGGACACGCUUACAAAAGUUAGGGUGUCCUAAGACAACCAUUCAGCAUUGUAGCCCAUAUGAUUCCAAACAGUGCUUCCAAAGGUAAAAUUAGAGGUAUAAAUUUUGCCUUCAGGCAUGGGGAGCAUAUCACGUGGGGAAGCACAAAUCAGGCAGCCAGAGCAAAGAAGCCUCCAUCAGAGUGACCGCGGUGUGAUUUGCCAUGCGAAGUGGAUAUUCCUGGAUGUGUCUGCUCAGCACUCCUUUUUCCUUUGGGAAGUGCCUCAGCCACUCCCUCCCGAGCUGCCUUGUCAGUGCAUCGUGACCUGUUCCUGGCCAUUUGGUUAUUUCAGAGAUGAGCACUUGAACCAGCUGGGCAUCGCGAUCCCAGAGUCCUUGCCUAAGACUUUUCUAACAGGGACUUAAAAAGAGAGUCGGAGAAACAUCGCCAAAGGCAAGGGAAGCAAGGGCAAAAAUGAACUAUUGGGACUUCAUCAAGAUAAAAAGCUUUUGCAAAGCAAAGGAAACAGUCAACAAAACCAAAAGACAACCAACAGAAUGGGAGAAGAUGUUUGCAAAUGACAUAUCAGAUAAAGGGCUAGUAUCCAAAAUCUAUAAAGAACUCAUCAAACUCAACACCCAAAGAACAAAAAAUCCAAUCAAGAAAUGGGCAGAAGACAUGAACAGACAUUUUUCCAAAGAAGACAUCCAAAUGGCCAACAGACACAUGAAAAAGUGCUCAAUAUCGCUCGGCAUCAGGGAAAUCCAAAUCAAAACCUCAGUGAGAUACCACCUCACACCAGUCAGAAUGGCUAAAAUUAACAAGUCAGGAAACGACAGGUGUUGGCGGGGAUGCAGAGAAAGGGGAACCCUCCUACACUGUUGGUGGGAAUGCAAGCUGGUGCAGCCACUCUGGAAAACUGUAUGGAGGUUCCUCAAAAGGUUGAAAAUAGAGCUACCAUAUGAUCCAGCAAUUGCACUACUGGGUAUUUACCCCAAAGAGACAAAAGUAGGGAUCCGAAGGGGUACGUGCACCCCGAUGUUUAUAGCAGCAAUGUCCACAAUAGCCAAACUGUGGAAAGAGCCAAGAUGUCCAUCGACAGAUGAAUGGAUAAAGAAGAGGUGGUAUAUAUAUACAAUGGAAUAUUAUGCAGCCAUCAAAAGGAAUGAGAUCUUGCCAUUUGCAACGACAUGGAUGGAACUGGAGGGUAUUAUGUUGAGUGAAAUAAGUCAAACAGAGAAAGACAUGUAUCAUAUGAUCUCACUGAUAUGAGGAAUUCUUAAUUGCAGGAAACAA